UACGUAGGUGGCGAGCGUUGUCCGGAUUUACUGGGCGUAAAGGGAGCGUAGGCGGACUUUCAAGUGAGAUAUGAAAUACCCGGGCUCAACUUGGGUGCUGCAUUUCAAACUGGAAGUCUAGAGUGCAGGAGAGGAGAAUGGAAUUCCUAGUGUAGCGGUGAAAUGCGUAGAGAUUAGGAAGAACACCAGUGGCGAAGGCGAUUCUCUGGACUGUAACUGACGCUGAGGCUCGAAAGCGUGGGGAGCAAACAGGAUUAGAUACCCU
rnacentral:rRNA from 1 species